rnacentral:lncRNA from 1 species
AAUUGAGACAUGGAUUGUGUAUGUGUGUCAUUCAGAGGGUGAAUGGGCUAGACCAAAUAUUGAAGUCCCUUUGAACAGAGUAUGGUAGAAUUUUGUGUCAAGAACUGCCAUGCUGUUGGGUUUUUCACACUCAACACUUUUCCCUGAGUAUCAACAAUGGUCCACCACCAAGGGGGGGGGGGGACUCAAUAGGAAGGUGUUCUUAAUGUGUUGUUCUCAGAGCCUGAGGGUCACAACUGGUAUGAGGUCAGACGUUACACACACAUACUAUUGACUAGGAGCAUUAAGAUCCUUCCAUUGACCGCUUUUUUUGUUAUGUCAUUGGUCACUGAUUUUGAAUGCUUGUUUUGUUGUCGUAGGGCUGGGAGGAGGACCUGCUGCCUGAGGAGAGGGAGGUUCCUCUGCUAAACCUCUACCUUACCACCAAGAGAGUGGAGGACAUCACCCUGAGGCUCGUCUCCCUGCGCCAGGCCUUCACUACCCUGCUUGGUUCCACCCUGAGCAGGAACCAUCUGUUUGUGGCGGGAAAGGUCCUCCUGGGUGCUUUGGUUCAGGCCAACCACAUGGACGAGGCCAAAUUCAUUCGUACCUAUAACGACUUUGUGGACUACCUGAGUGACCCCUCCAAGCGGAAUGACAUUGAGAGGGAGCUGGCUGAGGCAAAGAUCCAUCAUGUGAACAUGAUAGAUGUCCUCUUUGAGCUGGUGCUGUUUGGGUUGAUGACAGCUCAGAAGUCCCUGAUGGUGCACCCUGGUGGGUUCGUGGAGCGUCUGUAGGCUCUCCUGUACUCCUUCCUGCCCACUGCUGCCAACAUGGAGCCAGAGGCUGACAGAUACCUGCUGCUGCUCAAUGUAAGAGUCAAGAGGUUACUUCCUGUUUACUUCCUUAUCCAUGGUUAACCAGGUCCCAAUGCCAUUUUAGGGGGAGUAUUUCUAAUUGUCUCUCUCCUCUUGAUAAGCUAGUACCUCAGAGCCAUUUUCUAUGUGUUGUGUGGUGUUCUCUACAGGGCGGGCUGAUGGCUCUGCUAGAUGACAUGUUUGGCCAGCAGCUGGCCUGGUAGUUUAACCCAGAGUCUCUGGUCACUGAGCUCUCCAGCCUCCUGGAGUACCACUUGGAGAACCUCAUGGCCAGCAUGUAGUCCUACUGCAGGGACCAUACUCCUUUCUCCUUCUCUCUCUCUUUUGAAGGAAUUGAGGACUUGAAGUGCUUUGUUGAACCCUGAUUAGUUAACACCCAUUAAUUUAAUGUAUUCUCUUGUUUUCUCUCCCCACAGGAUUAUUGUGACACUUUGCCACCCAACAGGGAUCUAGACACCAAUGCACUACAUUACUUUGCACUGAAUUUGACAUU